CACUGCCUUUCUGUGUUAUAACCAUGGAACCCAGACACUCAGAGCAAAACAGACGUGUGGGAUGGCCAUAUAACGCUCCUGUUCCAAACUCCGGUCACCAUGGGUAGAGAAGGCGCCAAAGGAGAUACUCAUCUGAUUAAGACACAAUAGCAUGCCAAAACAGAGGCAAGCAGGGGCAGGGAGACUCCAGGGAGCUCACACGCACUUGAAAGUCUGUCUAUACCUCCAGAGCCAGGGAAGAAGCUUGAGGAUUGGGGCUUGGAGCCAAAAGGAGCUCAUGACCAGAGAUGAGACAGAGACUCGAAGCCAAAGCUCCAAGACUUUGGCCACCUGAUGUGAAGAACUGAGUCAUUUGAAAAGACCGUGAUGCUGGGAAAGAUCGAAGGCAGGAGGAGAAGGGGACGACAGAGGAUGAGAUGGUUGGAUUGCAUCACCGACUCAAUGGACAUGAGUUUGAGUAAACUCCAGGAGUUGGUGAUAGACAGGGAGGCCUGGCAUGCUGCAGUCCAUGGGGUCGAAAAGAGAUGGACACAACUGAGUGACUGAACUGAACUGAACUGAACUGAACUGAAAUGAACAACAGGCUCAGGAAGACACUGAUGCUCCAGAGUCAACAUGCCAUAGAUCAGAUUAGCUCAUUCCUCCACCCCUAAUACAAAGAGGUUAUAUUAAUACUAUACAUAAACCUGGGUUUUGUGAUAUAGCUCAACCACAUAAGAUAAGAUGUCUCUUAGAAGCACACGCGAGCAUAACGAUGCUAUGUGCCAGCCCAUCCAUCCCUUUUGCCUAAACAAUCUUUAUUAGCUGGUUUUUAACCUGGCACACUUGAAUCUUGAGCCACUUACUUCCCUCGGAUGCAACAUGGGCUUAGAGGGAAGCUGUCUUCACAUAUGAAGUCAGGCAGAAGUGCCUUUCUUGAUAUUCUCUUCAGGUAGCUGAGAGAUAGGAGUUGGGGGUAGAGUUAUCCUAAUUUGUUUGCCCAUAUACCAGUGGGCCCAUAGGUCAGUAGGCACUGCCUGUAUGUUUCCAAACCCUCUUGAUGACAGAAAGGCUGGGGUGAGAAUAAUCAAGGAUCAACCCCUAAUCUCCAUAACACCUCCAUCUCCAAAUCAACACAAAUCAACACACAGAAGACGUCAGAAUAGCAUGCUUGCCACAGAAAUGUAGUGCUCCAAGUCCUCUGGCUCCUUAAGCAAUCAGAAUACCCCGCCUGAAACCUGUCUACACAGAAAUUUGGAGCUACCACUCAUGACCGCCAUCUCCAAACAGUUGAAGGCCUGCAGUUAAGAGGAAUAAAUGGAGUUGACUGGUGUGGCCCAGGUUUAAAAUUUCAACAGGUGGGUAGAUUUCUAAGGAAGCUGUGAUAGCUCUGGUUCAGCAUGAGUAGGAGUUCAUCAGAGGGGGGUACACAGAGCAUAUGAGAGAAUACGGCUGCGAAUGAACUUCUUGGUCAGUCACCUUAAAAGUAAUUUGGAAACUUCUCCCACUAGGAGCCAAUCUUCAUGGAAGGGCAAUUCAUUUAGGAAGUGCCAUCAUUUUUAAUCAGAGUAUUUCACUGUUUGUAAAGCCUGGAAAUGAGCUACAAAUUACCUUAACCUUUCUGUGACCAGUCACUACCCUUGAAAACUCAAGGAAUAAUACAAAAAGGAACUUCAUUGCUCCUCUCAUUUGUAUCAUAGUUGGUUCAAUGGUUCUGUGGACAAUAAUGACUGUUAUUUAAAUGUCCUCUGUGUGUGUGUUCAUAAAACAGUAGAUGAAUUUCUCUUUUGGUUUACUGCGUGGGAAAAUUUUGUCACAACCUAUGUAGAGGCACACUUCUUAUUCUGAUAGUGAUGAUACAUUCUGUUUUACAUUCUGUUUCCUUUCCUUUUUUUUUUUUUUUUUGUAUUAACUAACAAAAGACUCAGCUCAGUUUGGUCCUCACCUGUAGAAACUGCCUGUGUAUAGAAUUUUGUUAACAUUUUUAAAAUUUCCCUCUUUUUCAAAGGCUUUUGGUGGCAAAACUUUUAUGGGAAAUUUGGCAGAAACUGAAUGAAUAAAUACAUCAAAUAAAUUAUAAACGGGUAAAUUCACCCAUAAAAUGUUCUACUGAGCUGGUCUCUUAGAACUCCAAGCUUUAAUGCUGGUUGGCUUUACCAGAUGGUUGCCUAUUACAGUUGCCUAAAGUAACAGAAAAUGCCACUGGAAGUGCUUCCCAGGUGGCUCAGUGGUAAAGAAUUUACCUGUCAAUGCAGGAGACACAGGAGUCACAGGUUCGAUCCCCGGGUCAGGAAGAUUCCCCCGGAGUAGUAAAUGGCAACUCGUUCAGCAUUCCUGCCUGGAAAAUCCCAUGGACAAAGGAGCCUGGCAGGCUAUAGUUCAUGGGGUCAAAAAGAGUCAGACACAACUGAGCAACUUAGCACACAAAAUAAUAGAAAAAGUUGAUAAGUAUCUCAAAUUCAUUAUAUAUUAAUUUACCAAACAGUAAAAACAGAACAACACUAUCUGUACUUCUCUUAGUAUAUAAAAUAUUGUCAGAUUCAAUAAAUAUGUGUUAGAACUCCCAGAUUAUAUAUCUACAUAGCCUUUAUUAUAUUAAUACAUUUUGUUUCUGUGGGAUAAAAAUAAACAUCCCUGUUUCCUGAGAAAAGAAACACCUUUUUUUUUUUUUAAGUGAUGAGAAGCAUGUCAAAUGUUCAAUAAAUUUGCAUACUUCAGUCUUGGCUGUCAAUAUAAAAUUUUGCAAGGCCGGAUAUAAAUUUUGCAGUAGCAUUGUGAAAGAAGAUGGGUGUCACUUUUGUCAAACAAACCAACCUAUGUAAUAAAACAUUCUGUGUUUGAUAAGCCUUUUGUCACCAAUACAUCUUGAGUAAAUUAGCUUCAUGCAAAACCUGAACUUGGCAGUGCCAACACCAAUAUUGACCCUGACCUCAUCUUGGCCACCUAACGCAGAAGAAAUUCUUCCUCUUAUUUGACUUGCUACUUUUUUUCAUAAACAUGGUCGUGUACAUAUUUACUCUCUCACCCUCCAGUGCCUCAUACCCACAGAUACUGAAAACAAUCAGGCUAUCACAUUUCCUCCACAUUCAUCCAGCUCUGACUACCUUUCUAGUUUGUAAGAUAUGGUGUUGAUGUGAACAAAGCCACUACUGACAAAUAACGAUCAUGCAAAAAAGUUGAUUUCCA
ensembl:lincRNA